rnacentral:lncRNA from 1 species
CUCCCGAGGCAACCGGAGCCUCAUUUGCAUAUCUGUGCCCGCGCUGCUGAUUGGCCCCGGCGCGUAGGGGCGGCCGUGACCGGCGCAGCUCGGGUCGUCGCUCGGUCCAGCUAGGGCUACCCAGAAGGGAGGCUACCUGCGCGGCUCCGCGCCCCGGCCCCCGGGCCCCGGCCCCCGGGCCCCGGCCCGACCUCGGACUAAGGGCAGCGGGAGGCGGGGUUGCUGCUCUACUCCAAGGCGGCCCGCUUUGCCGUUCCUCGCGCAGCCCCGGGCGGCCUCGGGGCGGGGAAGGGCUGUGGCCGGGCGCCCUCUGGCCGGAGCGUGGGGCAAUGCAGAGCCGACUCCCCCGCCGCCACGUCAGGCCCCGCCACGUCAGGCCCCGCGGGCACGCCCCGGCUGCCGGCGGCCUGCGGGGUCGCCGCCGAGGUCACUCACGCGGGCUCUGGAAGCCCUUUUGAGCCGCUUGGGCUCCGACCCACCACGUCCUCCGUCCGCGCCGAGUCCCCGGAGACACGCGUGUGCAGUAAAAUCCGGAGCCCUGGUGAAGGCCGCCACCAAUGAUGCAGCGAUUAAAGCCAGGUGCGGAGCACCUGCUGCGAAAAGGGCACGGGGACCGAGUCCCAAUUCACGCGACGGCGUGCCCCGAGUGAGAGGGCUGUCCCCGGUUCAGGAUUUACGUUCCAGAAAGGGGAAGGAAAACGAAAGAGGGGUUGCAUAAAUAAAUGAUAGGCGUGCCACACUGGUUGAGGAAUUGAGCAUGCACUUGAAAACCACUGUCUUCGGAAGGCUCUGGGACACAGGAGUUCCUUCUGUCACUAAUUAACUGAGUGACCUACAUUGUCUCAGUAUGUCUCAGGGCCUUGGUUUUCUCCUCUGUAAAACGAAGAGGUAAAUGCAUCUUCUAAAAGGCUUUCAGCUCUAAAAUUCUACCAGUCUCUACUUUCAGACCCAGAGCUAACUUUAUAACCUAAUUAAAUUUUUUCAACCCAUAUUUAGGAUUAAGAUAGACAAAAUGCUUGAACUUCGGUAAACCUACCUAUGUUUGUUCAAAACUGCUUAUUGUUUUCAAAUACAGCCUGGGUUGGAUUUAACAUGCAUCCUCCAGCGGACCAAAAUCUGAUCGUGAGGCUUCAUACAGGAACACUGUACAUGGUCAAGUACUGUAACUGUUGUACUCUAAAAGUAUACGUGAUCCACUCAGCUAAAAACUGAUGGAGCUGAGCAUCUUGGACAAGCUUUUAAUCCCAGCACUUGCAAGACUGAGGCAGCAGGAUCUCUGUGAGUCUGAGGCCAGCCUGAUCUACAUAAUAAGUUCUGGCCAGGCCAGAUAGAGAUACAUAGUAAGAUGUCUCAAACAAACAAAAUAAAAAUCUG